rnacentral:rRNA from 1 species
AUUGAACGCUGGCGGCAUGCUUUACACAUGCAAGUCGAACGGUAACAGGCCGCAAGGUGCUGACGAGUGGCGAACGGGUGAGUAAUACAUCGGAACGUGCCCGAGAGUGGGGGAUAACGAGGCGAAAGCUUUGCUAAUACCGCAUACGAUCUCAGGAUGAAAGCAGGGGACCGCAAGGCCUUGCGCUCACGGAGCGGCCGAUGGCAGAUUAGGUAGUUGGUGGGAUAAAAGCUUACCAAGCCGACGAUCUGUGGCUGGUCUGAGAGACGGGACGACCACACUGGGACUGUAACACGGCCCAGACUCCUACGGCGGGCAGCAGUGGGGAAUUUUGGACAAUCGGCGAAAGCCUGAUCCAGCCAUGCGGCGUGCAGGAUGAAGGCCUUCGGGUUGUAAACUGCUUUUGUACGGAACGAAAAGACUCUGGUUAAUACCUGGGGUCCAUGACGGUACCGUAAGAAUAAGCACCGGCUAACUACGUGCCAGCAGCCGCCGUAACAC